rnacentral:rRNA from 1 species
UACAGAGGGUGCGAGCGUUGUCCGGAAUCACUGGGCGUAAAGGGCGCGUAGGUGGCCCGAUAAGUAGGGGGUGAAAUCUCGAGGCUCAACUUCGAGGCUGCCUCCUAAACUGUCGGGCUUGAGCAGAGUAGAGGCAGGUGGAAUUCCCGGUGUAGCGGUGGAAUGCGUAGAUAUCGGGAGGAACACCUGUGGCGAAGGCGGCCCCCUGGUUGGAUACUGACGCUGAUACGCGAAAGCGUGGGGAGCAAACAGG